GCCGGGAUAGGCUCAGUGGGGGCGGGA
rnacentral:tRNA from 1 species